CAGUGACAACGCUUGAGAGGACCGGUGCAUUCUCUUCCUUCCUCUCGCUGAACCUCCCGCCUCUCUGCCUCUUCCUCUUCCACUGCAUCAACGACCUCGGCGAUGCAGGAUCAAUGGAAGAUCGAUCUAGAGUCGGAGGACCACAGGUCGCGACGCGACAUGACGGAGAAGUCUAUCGCCCGCUACGUGAAAGGCGAAGUGGAGCGGCAAGUGACCUCGUCCUCUACGUCGAGCUCCGUCUUUGUGUCUGACUGCACGUGGAUCAUGGGCGCAUCGGUUGCCCAGCCGUCCUAUCUCUGCUGCGGACUUAGCAACGGAAGUGUGUGCCUCCUGAACACGUCAAACCUGUCCAAGAUUUACCUCUUCGAGGUCGAUCGCGAUUCCCGUAGAUCGCAGCGCGACAGUGAUCGUGGAGGGCAAGGGCAGGGACCUGGACGUGUGUCUGCUGCUUCGCAGCAGCUCGUCGCUGUGGCAACGCACACCGUUUCAGCCGGUACCAAUCCGGCCGCUGUUCAGACACUGUUGUGCAUGACGCUCGACAACGUCGUAUGCGUGUGUCCGAUGGAUAUGUCAACUGUGCUGGAGCGAAAGAAAGUGUCGCGCAGUGACAUGGCCAAGGUGAAGCCGUUUCCGGCGGUGGCAGCCGGUGCGGUGCUACACUCGUCCGUUCACUUUAAUUCCAAAGGCAGUGGCAUCCUGGCACUACUCUGCAUUGAGCAGGAGUCCUCGGCGGCACCAGGUGCGUCGUCGAUCCGCUACUGCGCGGCCGUUCUCUCAUCGCCGGACGAGACAGUCACCCUGCAGAGUAAGUACGCGAGCGAGGACGACUGGCACACUCUCGCUCCUCCGUCUGCCGGUGGAGACUCGCGCCCCGGCGCCCCCGUGGAGCUGUGCUACUGCGGGUGGUGGUCGGCGGACACACUCGUGUGCGUUUGGUCGAACAGCGCACUCCAGUUCUUGCAGGCGGCUGGAAUGCAGGUAGUUGGUGAGUGUGGCCUACUGCACCACUGCACCUCAGAUGCAGUGACGAACGCUACAGUUACCCGGCCGGGUGCCGCGGAGGCGUCUGAUGGCGCCUCUUCUGGCCUCAUCGCCGUCGUGCUCGACCACAACGUCGCUGCUUCCUUUUACGUCACAGUCCGACAUAGCGCCAGCGCUAGUGCGCAGGAGCCGAAGCGCCACCGUAUUGAGGCGUUCCUCACCGUGACGCUGACCCCCACCAUGCAGACCUACUGUACGGAGGACAUCCCCAUCCGAGAACUUCACCUCGUCCGCUCGUUUUCAUGGACUAUUGUGUUGCUGCUGGAGAGUGGUGCGCUUGUCUUCCUGGACGCGGAGACGAUGCGGCUCUCCGUUCAUCGCCCCGUGAACCGCUUGCGGGCCCCUGACGCCGGCCGGUAUCAUGCAGGACCUCUGAUGGUCGCCCCGCGGAACUUCUUCUGCGUGUUGAGUGGGAAACCGUUUUCAGCCGUCGUUGUCGAGCACAACACUGCGAUUUUGCUAAAGUCUCAGUGAGGAGUGUGAGGUUACCGCGGGGCGCUCGACUGGUGUUUCUUCCUCCCGCGCCUCGCCGAUCGCUGACGAUAACUACUUGCCCUCUUACCCUGGUGGGGAGCAAUUCUGUGAAGGCGGAUGUGUGCGCGCACACAUGGGCGUCUGCGUGCCUACAUCGCCACGUGUCGUUUUUCAAAUCUGUCUGUAUGCAGGACCUGCUGACAAGAGCGACACCUCUCACUCUGCGUGGUACCUCAGCGCCCAGCACACCGCACGCCGUAUGCGGUGUAUGCUCAGACGGCUCCCUCUCCCCCUCUCCUAUCCCCUGCCAGCGCCGGAGCCCCACUUCUCGUGGUGACAAGGGUCGAGAGUGCCUACGGCGUGGCAGGGGGGGGUCUGUGCGAUGCAUGGCCACACUGAUGUGUCGGCGGUGGGGCCCUGGGUGGCGUUGCGUCGGGGUGGCCCGCGACAGCGAACACGCUUGUGCCGUCCAUGUGGUAGGCAGGGUGUCGGCGUGGCUGGAACGCAUUGCACCCGGCCCCGACUGCCGUUGCUGGUGCGGGGGGAGGGGGGGGCCUGUGUGCCACCCCUACGGGGAUGCACAGCAGGUGGGCGCCGACGUGACGGGUGCGGGUGUGAGGCGACCUGCAGAGCGCGGCGGUGGUGUGGAGUAUGAGGCGGGGCCGUGCUCGGAUGGCUGAGCCGGCGCGUUGCUGUAGGGCGUGUGUGUGCAGGGCUGCUUGGCACCACGCGAUGUGCCCGUGACAGAGAAUGGAGGUGCUGGAGAGAAGCAAAGCGUGUUUUCGAGUGCACGCGCGCGUUUCGCGGAAUGGUUUCAAGGGCGCGGUUCGACAUUGCCGAAGAAGCGAAAAUGCGCUUGGGUCUGCGCCGCAGACGCGCGUGAGUGGCUCUUGUUAAGGGCACGGAAAGGCCACCGCAGCUCAAGCAAAGCGAUAUACCGUCGACAUCUUCUUGUCCACGAUACCUAUAAGCCUCGACUGCGCGCAUGCGGGGCAGCUGCCGACGUGCACGAACUCUGUCCACACCGGCGUCCUCUUCUGUGGUGUUUGCCGCCCGCUAUCUUGAUUGUUUGUUUCGGUAUUCAACUACUCCCCACCAAUGGUGUCUUUAUCCAUUUUUUUUCUGCUGCUGCUUUGAGCGCUUCACGUGUGUGCUUGUUUUCCCGUGUAG
rnacentral:misc_RNA from 1 species